rnacentral:SRP_RNA from 2 species
GCCGGGUGUGGUGGCUCACACCUGUAAUCCCAGCACUUUGGGAGGCCGAGGCGGGUGGAUCACCUGAGGUCAGGAGUUCAAGACCAGCCUGGCCAACAUGGUGAAACCCCAUCUCUA